rnacentral:tRNA from 1 species
GGGCCGCGCUUCGCCAAGGAGGUGGGGGCGUGGGCGCUGCCGCUGCCCACCCUCGACCCGCAGAUCGUGCGGCGCUCGGCCCGC